GCAGUAUUGUUUCUACAGCACUACACGUACAGUCAUUUCGGUCCAGAGACACAGAUUCCUUUCUCUGCAUAAUGAUAGGCUCUCUGAACAAUGAGACAGCAGCCAGUACCGGUACAAUACCAGUACUGCUCUUGAAACUUGGUUGUAAGUUCAAAAAUUACUGGGUGCACUGUGUCUACGUUUAUUCUCCAUGCUAGUGUGCAAAUGACAUUCUUUGGCGUUGUGUUUUUUGUUUCUUUUCUGUCUUUUUUCUGUCUCUCUAGCCACUUUGUGGGUAAGCAUCAAGCCGAGAAUGCGAAAAAGUCCCGGAUGUGUUCUCGCGCCGCCCGUUUUAUCGAGCAUGCAUCGGUGGUGACUUGUGUGGACUUGGUACAGCUAAAUAUCCCAGAAUGCAUUUCGUCCAAAACUCAAACGCGGCAAUGGCGGACGAGCAGGGCUAAGGGAAGCCCAAGAAGCAAAUAUCUGUGACAACCAUGAUGGGACCUACCUGGUGUUUUAACACCAGCUGCUCAGUCCAUCCAGACUCCCCUCCAUAUGCAACAGUGAUGCCAGCAACUCAAAUACAAGCUCUCUCCAAGUGAUUCCUUCAUCAUCAACAUCUGCAUCCACGAUCCAUUAGCUCAACAGCAACAUCUGUCAGCUGUGCAUCCAACUCGAGGGCAUCGCCUGCUGUGCUCAGGCGCUGGGCUGCAAUUUCCGUCCCUUGUUGACGACCUCGCUGUAUGCUGUGCUGGAGAAAGCUGGUGAGGAGACGCUGCUGGUCGGCCAGGCGACGCUGAGCUCCAUGUAGGACAUCAGCAAGGCCUGUGGAUACACUUCCCUCAAGGAACUGAUCAAUGAGAACUCUGACUACCUGCUUAAUGACAUAUCACUCAACCUUCAGAGGCUCAGCCAGCAUCCACAGGCUCCACCGGUGUUGACAGUUCUGUUGACUCACUCUGACUGC